rnacentral:rRNA from 1 species
GAUCAGCCGUACUCGCGAAUGCUCUAGAUUAGAGUUUGAUCAUGGCUCAGACCUGAACGCUGGCGGUAGGCCUAACACAUGCAAGUCGAACGGCAGCACAGGAGAGCUUGCUCUCUGGGUGGCGAGUGGCGGACGGGUGAGGAAUACAUCGGAAUCUACUCUGUCGUGGGGGAUAACGUAGGGAAACUUACUGCUAAUACCGCAUACGACCUACGGGUGAAAGCAGGGGACCUUCGGGCCUUGCGCGAUUGAAUGAGCCGAUGUCGGAUUAGCUAGUUGGCGGGGUAAAGGCCCACCAAGGCGACGAUCCGUAGCUGGUCUGAGAGGAUGAUCAGCCACACUGGAACUGAGACACGGUCCAGACUCCUACGGGAGGCAGCANUGGGGAAUAUUGGACAAUGGGCGCAAGCCUGAUCCAGCCAUACCGCGUGGGUGAAGAAGGCCUUCGGGUUGUAAAGCCCUUUUGUUGGGAAAGAAAUCCAGCUGGCUAAUACCCGGUUGGGAUGACGGUACCCAAAGAAUAAGCACCGGCUAACU